CGGACGGGUGAGUAACGCGUGGGUAACCUGCCUCAUACAGGGGGAUAACAGUUAGAAAUGACUGCUAAUACCGCAUAAGCGCACAAAACCGCAUGGUUUGGUGUGAAAAACUGAGGUGGUAUGAGAUGGACCUGCGUCUGAUUAGCUAGUUGGAGAGGUAACGGCUCACCAAGGCAACGAUCAGUAGCCGACCUGAGAGGGUGACCGGCCACAUUGGGACUGAGACACGGCCCAAACUCCUACGGAAGGCAGCAG
rnacentral:rRNA from 1 species